GUGGAUUUUACUGCUUCCUGGUGUCCGCCAUGCCGUUUCAUUGCUCCAGUAUUCGCAGAGUUGGCUAAGGCGCACGCCCAUGUCAUUUUCCUGAAAGUAGACGUCGAUGAACUUAAAGAAAUUGCCGAGAAGUUCGAUGUUAAUGCAAUGCCGACCUUUGCUUUCGUGAAAGGAGGGGUGGAAGUUCACAGGAUUGUCGGUGCUGACAAAGUGGAGCUGGGGAAGAAAGUAUUGGAAUUGAGCGCUUCAGCGGCUGCAACUUCUGCUGCAUAGAUGGUCAGCUUGGAAGAACGUUCUCCCUCUUAUUAUUAUGGUGUAUUGAUGAUUCUGGUUUCGAGUUUGUUCUACUUGUGGAUUUCAUGACAUUAUGUCUGAGAUGUUUACUUGCUUAAUGAAUGUUUGUAGAAUAAUAAAUGUAUAAUAAGAUUUAAC
rnacentral:misc_RNA from 1 species